rnacentral:rRNA from 1 species
CCUACGGGAGGCAGCAGUGAGGAAUAUUGGUCAAUGGACGCAAGUCUGAACCAGCCAUGCCGCGUGCAGGAAGACGGCUCUAUGAGUUGUAAACUGCUUUUGUACGAGGGUAAACGCAGAUACGCGUAUCUGUCUGAAAGUAUCGUACGAAUAAGGAUCGGCUAACUCCGUGCCAGCAGCCGCAGUAAUACGGAGGAUUCAAGCGUUAUCCGGAUUUAUUGGGUUUAAAGGGUGCGUAGGCGGUCGGAUAAGUUAGAGGUGAAAACCCGAGGCUCAACUUCGGAAUUGCCUCUGAUACUGUUCGGCUAGAGAGUAGGUGCGGUAGGCGGAAUGUAUGGUGUAGCGGUGAAAUGCUUAGAGAUCAUACAGAACACCGAUUGCGAAGGCAGCUUACCAAGCUACUUCUGACGUUGAGGCACGAAAGCGUGGGGAGCAAACAGGAUUAGAUACCCUUGUAGUC